rnacentral:rRNA from 1 species
AAUGGGUCAGCGACUUAUAUUCUGUAGCAAGGUUAACCGAAUAGGGGAGCCGAAGGGAAACCGAGUCUUAACUGGGCGUUAAGUUGCAGGGUAUAGACCCGAAACCCGGUGAUCUAGCCAUGGGCAGGUUGAAGGUUGGGUAACACUAACUGGAGGACCGAACCGACUAAUGUUGAAAAAUUAGCGGAUGACUUGUGGCUGGGGGUGAAAGGCCAAUCAAACCGGGAGAUAGCUGGUUCUCCCCGAAAGCUAUUUAGGUAGCGCCUCGUGAAUUCAUCUCCGGGGGUAGAGCACUGUUUCGGCAAGGGGGUCAUCCCGACUUACCAACCCGAUGCAAACUGCGAAUACCGGAGAAUGUUAUCACGGGAGACACACGGCGGGUGCUAACGUCCGUCGUGAAGAGGGAAACAACCCAGACCGCCAGCUAAGGUCCCAAAGUCAUGGUUAAGUGGGAAACGAUGUGGGAAGGCCCAGACAGCCAGGAUGUUGGCUUAGAAGCAGCCAUCAUUUAAAGAAAGCGUAAUAGCUCACUGGUCGAGUCGGCCUGCGCGGAAGAUGUAACGGGGCUAAACCAUGCACCGAAGCUGCGGCAGCGACACUAUGUGUUGUUGGGUAGGGGAGCGUUCUGUAAGCCUGCGAAGGUGGCCUGUGAGGGUUGCUGGAGGUAUCAGAAGUGCGAAUGCUGACAUAAGUAACGAUAAAGCGGGUGAAAAGCCCGCUCGCCGGAAGACCAAGGGUUCCUGUCCAACGUUAAUCGGGGCAGGGUGAGUCGA